CAUAUGUCAGGUUGGGUAUCAGACGUCACCUCUCUGGGGACAUCUCAGGCCCUCCAAGGUAUGGAGGCCUAUCUCCCCCCACCACUUCCCCUGCCGGUGGCAGACGCCCUCAGACAUCGGUGCGUUGGUGGUUCUUUGUGUCCGGGGAUGGGCGUCCAGGUACACACCGGCUCACUCCUUGGUGGCUGCUUAUCGGGGCCUGGAGCCUGGGGCUCGCUCGGGCCACUCCGGGGGUGGGGUGCCCCCGGCCUCUCGGC
ensembl:lncRNA